rnacentral:rRNA from 1 species
GAUGAACGCUGGCGGCGUGCCUAAUACAUGCAAGUCGAGCGAACGGACGAGAAGCUUGCUUCUCUGACGUUAGCGGCGGACGGGUGAGUAACACGUGGAUAACCUACCUAUAAGACUGGGAUAACUUCGGGAAACCGGAGCUAGUACCGGAUGAUAUUUUGAACCGCAUGGUUCAAAAGUGAAAGACGGUCUUGCUGUCACUUAUAGAUGGAUCCGCGCUGCAUUAGCUAGUUGGUAAGGUAACGGCUUACCAAGGCAACGAUGCAUAGCCGACCUGAGAGGGUGAUCGGCCACACUGGAACUGAGACACGGUCCAGACUCCUACGGGAGGCAGCAGUAGGGAAUCUUCCGCAAUGGGCGAAAGCCUGACGGAGCAACGCCGCGUGAGUGAUGAAGGUCUUCGGAUCGUAAAACUCUGUUAUUAGGGAAGAACAUAUGUGUAAGUAACUGUGCACAUCUUGACGGUACCUAAUCAGAAAGCCACGGCUAACUACGUG